GUUGAUGCGACCACUUUUGUUUCUUUUAGUAAUUUAUAUUGAAGGAUAUACUUUUGUUAUUUUGUUCUGUAAAUCAGGAACAUAAGUUCACUAUUUUAUUUAUUUAUUUAUUAAAAUUUUAUUUAAAGAAGAAGAGGUAGAUGUUUUGUUUCUCAUCAUUAACAGCUUUUGGCAAAUGACAUAUGGCAUUUGAUUUGGCUUACUUAAGUGUAAUUGAUACUAUUGCAGGUUAAGUCAGAAAAGGUUAAGCCAUAUUUAGAGGGGUGAUGUAUAUAUUUAGUCGGAAUGAUGGGCUCUGGGAAAACAACUGUAGGAAAGAUUUUGUCACAAGCGCUUGGAUAUUCAUUUUCCGAUUGAUUUGUAUUUGACCUUACGACACUUUAAUAGAGCAGGAAGCUGAUGGAAUUUCGGUGGCCGAAAUUUUUAAGCUCCAUGGAGAGGGCUUCUUCAGAGAUAAGGAGACGGAAGUACUGCGUCAGCUCUCACUAAUGCGCUGUGUUGUUGUUUCUAUCGGUGGAGGUGCGCUUGUUCGUAAUA